UACGUAGGGUGCGAGCGUUAAUCGGAAUUACUGGGCGUAAAGCGUGCGCAGGCGGUUUUGCAAGCCGGAUGUGAAAUCCCCGGGCUCAACCUGGGAAUGGCAUUUGGGACUGCAAGGCUCGAGUGCGGCAGAGGAGACUGGAGUUCCUGGUGUAGCAGUGAAAUGCGUAGAUAUCGGAAGGAACAUCAGUGGCGAAAGCGGCUUCCUGGUCCAGCACCGACGUUCAGGCACGAAAGCGUGGGGAGCAAACAGG
rnacentral:rRNA from 1 species